GGCGGAAGAGAGCAGGGCCCUGGGCAGGUGCUGAGCCAGGUCCUGCAGGUCACCCAGUCGCUUGAGUCCACGAAUGCUGGAGGCAGGCACUGGAGAGCCAGGGUGGUUCAGCCGCAGCUCCUCUGAGCAGGGAGUCAAACAGGGCUGAAACAGACACCAGCUCUCCAGGACCAGCUGGUCUCAAUCAAAAACCUCUGAAAGCCACUGGCCUAGAGUUAGAGGAAGAGUUAGCCAUGAGAAAUGGUGGUGACACAGGUUCCAAAAGAAGAAACAAUAGGAGCCUGGACCUGUGGCCUUCCCUGCCUCCACCUGGGCCUCAACCGUCACGACCACCUGGCCUUUGAGAAAUCAAAUGGCUCACGCUGUGUCUCAGAGCUGCAACGAUCCAACGCCCUCCAUCCUUCAGAGGCUGUCUGAGUCCGGGGACACAACUCCCACCCUCCUCUCCUGCCAGCCGCGGCCCGUGGCUGCUCUCUUCACUUCGUCCCGCUUCGCCCCGACUGUGGAUCUACCCGCUCCCUUCUCCCUCAGUCCCCAAAGCACCAGACUCACAGGCCUGCUGUGUGACCCACUUUUACCGACCUUUCGGGGAGAGUAGAGGGCAUUUGUGACUCAGCUCAGAGCAGGAAACACAUCUCACGUCAACUGUCAGACAGCGCUGCUCCGAAUCCCAUCACAGUGCUCCAGCAGGGGGCGUCCUCACCGGCCGCGGCCACAGCCACGGCUCAACCCGGCCUAGCUCCCAGACACCCUCCUUCCACCGCCUGUUUUCCACCGUCCCCGCCUGCUCUUUCAAGCCAGCAGCAAACAACACCCUAAUCCGUGUCUUUAUUAUUCAAAGACCUUAAGCACUCUUUCCCACCUCGUUCCCAUCUUGAUUAUUUCAGGGAAUGAAUUAGGGAUUCACCUUUACAAUCAAAAAAGUUCUCUCAAAGCCAGGCUACUGGAGUUCUAAUUCUGCCUUCCCACUUUUACUAGCUGUGAAAUCUCAGGAAAGUUACUUAACCUCUCUCUGUCUCAUUUUCCUCAUCUUUAAAAAACAGGAUGAUAAUAUUUAGCUCCUAAGAUGGUUGUGAGGAUUUAAGUGAGCUGAUAUAUCCAAGAAUGUCUAGAACAGCGCGUGGCAGAAUGGGCAUUGCAUAUGGGUUUAAUCUUGUAACUGCCAUGUUUCACCAAUUCUAAGGUGUAUCUCGUUUCUCAUCAUAAGAGCUCUUCCGCUCGUGUGGCAGCUGGGAGUGGCCGUCAUUGCCUGCGCAUACCUAAACUUGGUCAGGCAGCCAAGUGUUUUGUGAGACCUAAGAAAGGAAGAGCCCCAUAAGUAAAUGGAACUGUUGUGUUGUUUUAUUACCGAGAAAAGGGCAGAAUGAUUGCUAGUCACACGUGAAGCAAGAAAACCCCGGCAAUAAAGCUUGCAGAAUGAGUGGCUGAGGCUUGAAAAUAAAUGGUGGAAACAAUAGUGGACAAUCUUUUAAAGAAUGGCACAUUGCCAAUGCUCCUGAUGGCACAGAAGGUGACACCAUGCAGAAAAUCAAGGCUCUGAGUCAAAGAGGGUUUCAGAAAAAUUGGACUCUGAAUGUGAAGAAAUCUGGGGACUAUUUUAGCCAAUUUGUUUUGCCUAUAAUUUCCUUUUAUGCAUGCAAAAGAGCAAUUCUGACUUUAAAGACUGAUAUCUAAAUAAAUCUAAAAUAUCUUUUUUGUGUGUGUGUCUGUGAUACAGUGUCUCGCCCUUUCACCCAGGCUGGAGUGCAGUAGUGCAAUCUCAGCUCACU
rnacentral:lncRNA from 10 species